rnacentral:rRNA from 1 species
GAUGAACGCUGGCGGCGUACCUAAUACAUGCAAGUCGAGCGAACAGACGAGGAGCUUGCUCCUCUGACGUUAGCGGCGGACGGGUGAGUAACACGUGGAUAACCUACCUAUAAGACUGGGAUAACUUCGGGAAACCGGAGCUAAUACCGGAUAAUAUAUUGAACCGCAUGGUUCAAUAGUGAAAGACGGUUUUGCUGUCACUUAUAGAUGGAUCCGCGCCGCAUUAGCUAGUUGGUAAGGUAACGGCUUACCAAGGCGACGAUGCGUAGCCGACCUGAGAGGGUGAUCGGCCACACUGGAACUGAGACACGAUCCAGACUCCUACGGGAGGCAGCAGUAGGGAAUCUUCCGCAAUGGGCGAAAGCCUGACGGAGCAACGCCGCGUGAGUGAUGAAGGUCUUCGGAUCGUAAAACUCUGUUAUUAGGGAAGAACAAAUGUGUAAGUAACUAUGCACGUCUUGACGGUACCUAAUCAGAAAGCCACGACUAACUACGUG